rnacentral:rRNA from 1 species
CGGGUGAGUAACGCGUGGGUAACCUGCCUCAUACAGGGGAUAACAGUUGGAAACGACUGCUAAUACCGCAUAAGCGCACAGGAUCGCAUGAUCCGGUGUGAAAAACUCCGGUGGUAUGAGAUGGAUCCGCGUCUGAUUAGCCAGUUGGCAGGGUAACGGCCUACCAAAGCGACGAUCAGUAGCCGACCUGAGAGGGUGACCGGCCACAUUGGGACUGAGACACGGCCCAA